rnacentral:lncRNA from 1 species
UGCUUCCCUGGAGACUUUCUCCUGGACCACAACCACAUAUGCAUUUCAAAGGCUUCUAAUCUCAACCGAGCACCAGAAGAAGAGGCUAACAGCAAGCUGGGGAGUAGAAUGAUGCUGAAAUUUAACCCGCUGCUCCAGAGCCCAAGCCUGAAUGAGCCUCCCUAGCUGUUGGUCCAGAUGUGUAUUGCAAAGAGGUUGGUAACCAGAGAACUCUGUUAUCUCGGUGUGGAGAUGCCCAGUGUUGCUCACUACAGCAUGCAGUGACACUAGCAUCUGCCCGUUGCUUCAGCUAGCUGGAGUGGAUGAAGUGUAACCACUGGACUUCUCUGACUGACCUGGUGUGAUGGGUUGCAUAAGACUGAGAUGGGAAAAAUUGCUUCCAAAAGCUUGGUACCUUUGUACUGUGUUCUGCUGCAUCCCUACUGGUUGCAACAGCCUCUUGCUUGUAGUAUUUGUCUUUUCACGUGAAAUGGGAAUCCUUCUGUUUAGCCCAGAACUAGGCUUGAUCUUCAGCAGAGAGAACUUUGUUAACCCUGCUUGAAUCCCCUCUGGAGCUAUUCUGCUGCAGAAAUCAGAAGAAAUGUUUUGCAGCUGUUAAAGGAUCGGUUAUAUAUGUGGCCAGGCAGCAUGCUCAGGCUGCUGGAGAAGAGCAAGGUGCUGCUUAAGGCAGAAGGAGAAGAGUCCCUGUGACUGGGAAAGGAGCAGUUGUGGGCAGAACAGCAUGGGGAUGGGCCCUGAUGAGUCUCUCAGACUACAAAGGAAUCUGGAAGGAUUUGAUAGCUGAGUCUUUUCUUGUCGCAAGAACAAAGGAAAUUUUUGGCCAAAUCCAUCAGUUUCCAGCAACUUGCUCAGACCAUUUGUCUAAGUCAUGUCAUCUCCCGAAAGCCACCGGGAGCAGAGAUGGGCAGGGCGAGCAAGCCCAGGCUGGGGCUCUGCUGUGCGGCUGCUGGAAGUGGGGUCUCCAAGGAAAAAGGGUAAGGAAACCCAGGCUUAUAAGGAACAAAAGGUGAUGUACCUGGGGUGAGGAUGCUCUGAGCCUUUUUGGAUUAUGUGUUUCAGAGUCAAAAAUCCUCUGAGCUGUGUGGGAGGGAGCGAUAUGGGAGAGACCCCCCUGGUGCUCAGGGCUCAUGUCAAGUUGUACAACCAGAAACCUUCAGAAGUCUUGGUUUUUGAAAACUUUCUCUGUUUUCAACAGCAAGAAUGGUCCUAUGAGGGGCAGGAAGCACAGGGUGGCUAAAGAGUACUCAGGUGUAUGAAAGUAACUCAAGUCUGAAGCAGACCUUGGUGUAGGAAAUCGGGGAGUCUCUGCAAAGAGAUCCUGAAGGGGCUGGAGUUGGCCAAAAAAAAAAAAAAAAAAAGACAAAUCUCUGUUGGCAAAAUCUUUUCACAGAUGUGUCAUUCAGGAGUGGUUCACAUAACUGAAGAAUGGCAAACAGAGUACUCCGUAUGAAAGGAGGAGGAAAAGCAAUCCAGGCAGCGACUGGCCUUUCACAGUCUGCAAAGCUUUAGACAAAUUGUGAAGGAAAGAAUAAUGGGAUGAAAAUAGGACUGAGUCCAAUCCAGACUUACAAAGGCACAUUGAACCUGCUUGUCUUGAUAUUUUUUUUGUUGGUAGGGGAACUGGUUUCCUCCACAAAAGAAAAAUGCAUUUCUUCUUUGGCUGGCUUUUGGUUAAGUAACAUUUGGGGGAUAUUUCAGUGGAUGAAGAGAAAUGAAUCAUCUGUGCUAAAAGACAAUGCUGAGGCACGAAGAAGUAAGUAUUAAUAGGUGAUAAAAUAAAAAUGCAACCUGGAGAAUGGGUUCUUAACA